AUGAUUAAUGGCUGUCGUUGGUUAACAUUCUCCAGAUCUUGGAAAUUUGGUCAGGUUUUGGUUUGUGAUUUGGUUGACAUUGAUGGAAGCUGCAGGGAAAAUGGUAUGGAGGCAGAGAUGACGGUUAAAAUCCUUGUCACAUCGUACUUACUUACCAACCCGUAUAUGUCCCGUUUUCGCCUUCUGGUUAUUGCUUCUUUCUAUUGUCUUCACCUGUCUUAUCCUCCAUGGAGAUUGUUGACUAUAUACUACACGGAAAUUAAGGGAGGCAUUACUGCACUGAUGCUGUCAUCUACAAGGCUUAUUCAACUACAAGUUCAUAUCUGUUCGUGA